UUUUGAUUUUCGUCUUCUUUUUAGAUAAUCCACCUCUACUGGCAAAAGAUUGUGCAUCUUUUUUAUCUGCGAAUAAAAAUUGAAAAAGUUGGAAAAAUUAUUUUCCGCAGAACAGCUUUGAAUGGAAAAGUAGGACAUUCCAAUAAGCCAAGGAAAGCUGGCCAAUCAUCGUCUUAAUUUGUAAUGUUCGCGUCGUUUAAAAAAUUAUCAGCAAAUUUCUUUGAACAUUACUCAACAUGGUUCUCAUGGUGAACGGAAAUUAUUAAGCACUGGAGAGAUGAAAAAAUGCGGGACAAUCAAAUACAAUCUGCAAAAUUUGUCAAUUCUUACGUCACUAUAAUACUCAUCAAGAACUUCACGGUCAAAAGUCAAAUCAGGAAGUCCGACAUUAAACUUGACGGCGUCGAGUUUCUCUGUCAUGGCCUGCUUAUCAGCGUCAUGAAGCCACUUGUACGACGCGAUGUUCUGCUUGAAGGCACGCCGUAGAUUCUCGAACAUUUCCGUUACCUUUAAUAUCAGAAUAAAAUGUAGAAUUUUGGAAAAAGGAAGAGAGAAACAAAGCAACAAUUACUAAUUAUACUGCAAAGAACACAAAUGAAAACCCA